UUAGUUUUAGCAAUUCCUCCCUUAUUAUACCUACUUACCACUACUACUUGGGGACGGUAGCUGCAGCUAUCCGUUUCAAUCGUUGCAUUCACACUGCCCCCCCAGAUGGAACGAGGUGUCCAAGCAUAUCUUUCAGCACAAAAAAAGACUAAAUCUCCAAAAUAGCAAGUAUUUAAUAUCAGUUAAACCUAAAUUCAUGUCAUACAGUAAUUCAGUACUUCAAGUAUGCAUUUGCAACAAAAUAAUUCCGCGGACCGCCUCGCUCGGUUCAUACUGAAAACCCAAAAAUAAUACAUCUAGUAACCACCUGCAGCCGUCUACCUACUCCAGACCCAGAAAGUGACCAAAACUUAUGUAACAUUGCAAGUCAACCUAGAUCGCAAUGUUACCCCAUUUUAUGGUCAAACAGCAACCCUAAAUGAGGCAGUAGCAAGCCCAAACGAAUAAUAAUAUAAUGCCAAACAAAAACGCUCGUUAAAACAUUCCAAAAUGAAAAUAACUUACAUACCGUUGCAAUGAGGAGGACCUUGUCUUCAACGGCCGGAACGAAAGUCCGAACCAAAUUUGGAAACACCAGUCGAAAUAGAAUUAGGCCAUUUGGUGACCAAGAUUCAAUGCAAGAACGUUUCACAGCAUUUCAGUCUUCGUCCACAUGACUGUGAGAUGGUGGAAAAUUAUACAUUUUGGUUAGACGAUACACUUCCACGGUUUAUCACUCCAAAACCAAAAUUGCACUCCUACGCUUUACCUGACGGGAAACACGUUAUUCGGUCCCGCCUUUCUUUUUUAGCAGCGAUUGUUUUGCAGUACGCCUUUCAGUUGUACCAACAUAACACAGCUGUUUGUGUUUCUCGCGUGUAUACGAAAGAAGAGCGGUCGUAGGUGAAUGAAAGACGUGUGGCUCACCGCGUUACAAAUGAGAAUAGUUGUGGUGUGCAGAAGCACUGACUGAUGUACGAGGCAUGUGAGACAAGAAAAUAUUACUUCCUACCUACACACAUUAUAUUAUUUCAGCAUGUGGCAGUGUAAUCUCUAAAAUCCGCGACUUGCCUUUACAGUGAACACAAACUGUAAAGUUUCCGAAAGGAUACUGAACUUAACAAGCUGAAGACAGUUAGCAAGAGUCCUUUGUUUAUGUAUUUCUAGAAGAAGAGGCUACUAAACCAAAUCUCAAACUUUCCAAGAUGACUAAAGAAUGGAAGAAACAGAAGCAAAAGGUGAAGGAAUUAGUUCAAAAAGAACAGAGUGCAAAUGAAUUACAUUACUGUCUUACAGCAAUGCAAAUGCAUCUUUUAGUUUUACUGUGUUUAUCUGAUAAGUCUGAUGUGAUUACAGUUGCCAUACUUAAGUUAAUAAUACAUAAUACAUUUGUGUUGGAUAAAAAUUACAGUUACCGCAACAUACCAAUCUACAGAUGUAAAAUAAUCAAUUUGGUCAUUAGACUCGUAGAUGCUCCAUAAAUAGAAUGUGCUGAAUCCAGCAUAAUGGACAUGGGCCUGCAUAAAACAUGCACUGGAAGCACUUUGUAGAGGCUUUGGACAUUAAGAUUUUGCACAUUCAGCGCGCGCACACUCCACUCGGUGGCCGUGUGACAGCUAAGAGGUUUCAUUCUGUCCUACGGGCAAGCGAAUGGGAACCGAGGCCCACUCUUCCAUUUCCACCCUUCUUCCUAUAUAAUCCAUAAUUCUGGUGAGCUGAUGGCUCUGCUUGCCUCGUGCUUUCACGCUGGUAUCUUGCUCGGCUUAUUCUUCGAACCUGAGGAUGGAGGCGAUAUGUUCCUCCAAAACAUCAGUCAACUUUCAGAUACCUAUUGGGCAUUAUAACCCAGUAGAUGGUACUCUUCAGGAUUUUUUGUUUGAUAUCAAUGUCUUUCUUACAGAAAGGUGUGUUGUAUAAAGAUUUUAAGUGAACUCUAAACUUACCUACACCUUCCUCCUCUAAACACAUGCAUGCACACAUACACACACAAAAUAUUGUGCUGUGGUGGGAUGCUCGCAUACAAAAACCAAACUGAGACAAAAGAUAUCUUAAAUGUACAGCAGUGGAAGAAGAGAACAAUGUAUUAUAAAAAGAUAAAAACUGGGAUAGCCCAGGUUUGGACAAUUUGAAUUUCAACUGUAUAUAUAGAAAACACACAUGAAAGAAGGAACUAUGAAAUCUUCAACAGCAUACACCAUAAGAACAGGAAACUGGUGACUAAUAUCUGAUACAGAGGGUAGGAGGAAUUCCCACUAAAUGUUUUGCUGAUCAUGCAAACAAGUGGGAUGAGAACAGGGUGCCAGAUGUUGUCAUAAACAAAUUGGUUAUUCCAUGUAUGUCUUACUAAGAGAGAUAUAUUAGUAGGUGUUCUAUGGAGAUUUAAUUAGUCCCUCUCAGAAUUAGGUGCCUCAUUACCUAGUAAUAACAGAAGAUACUUUUGGGUUUUUUCUUUCAGUUUGUAAUUUUAAUACAAGUCAAGAAGUUAGAAGUAAAAAAAAUUGUCUUUAGAAAACCCCGAGAACAGUUCAGGAACCAGUGAAUAAAGGAAAACAGAAUAAAGAACAGUAAUUUUGUCAAAAAACUUGAUUUUAUCUUCUCUAUAUAUUUUUGUAAUGGUUUUAUGUUGAAGCCCAUGAGCUAGAAAUGCAUAUAACACACAGCAAUAUCCUGCCACCAAUAUUCCAGUUACAGGCAGCACCACACUACACACUCCACAACCCAUUACACAAAAUACUACACACAGCACUUACACUUUUAAAAAGAUAUAAAUAAAAAGCUUUUAUGUUACAAAUGUUCAUAUUUCCCAGUGUCCAAAAUUAAGAUCUGCACUAACACAGUUCAGUGGCACAAAUCAUACAGCCAUCAAAAAAUAUAAUUUCAAAAUUCCGGUUCACUGUGUAAACAACACCUCUACUAUCCUUGCCAACAACCAAUUUAACAUAAAUGUAUCUCCUUUCAUAUCACUGAACAGAUACAGGUAUAUUAUUGUAGCUUGGCCAUUACAUGCAUGUAGUUCCAUAAUUACUACAGGGCACAGAGACGGGGACUGUCUGUUGUCAGUGCUGCUAUGAAUCAUUAACUGCCAAUAUUACUUCAUUAAAUGAGGCAGAAUACUUUUUGUUGAUAACAUGGCAAGUACCAAGCACCUUACACUACUGAUGACUUUCCAAUCUCACUCAACUCUUGUGUGAAAGCUGCGAUGAUACAAUGUCGAGUGAUAGUGGUAUAAGGUGAGAACAGUUAGAAUUCAUUUUUGAGAAACGUUAGGGGUAGCAGUAAUAAAAUAUUGGAAAGUCUUCUUGGAAACAUGACAGAAGUUAUAGAAAACAACCGCUGUGUCUCUUGGAACUAGGUCAUAAAUGGUUUAGUCAGCCACUGUAAUACAUCAAGAAGAGAGGAAAGCACUGGGAAAAAUGUGAGGGAAAAACAGAUUUUAGACUCUUCAUUUGAGAUGUAUAACAUAGGAAAAAAAACUUUAAAACGGGAACGACUGUAAAUCAUGACACCCAUCUGAGAUUCUUUAGACUCAGUCUUCUCUGGUCAAUAAGCACCAAGGUCAGCUCCCACAGUAACAUCUCUUUAUGAAUACAAAACCUGUUUCUAUUGCAAGCCAUUUUAAAAACAGAAGACAGAACUUGCCCCACUUUUAAAAUUUGGCAGAAAGCAGUCAUAUACACUCAGCAGUUCUAUUGCAGUUUGUUCCUUCACUUUUUUCGUUCACAUUCUUACAGGACAGGAAAAAACUGAUCACAAAACAUGAAGUUUUCAGGGGGGGGG